rnacentral:SRP_RNA from 1 species
UGCUGGCGGAGAUGUUGGAGGCAAGGGUUCACAUGCAGGAGGAGGAGACUGUCCGAGGCCGGAAGUACAGCAUGAAGGAGG